rnacentral:rRNA from 1 species
GAUCCUGGCUCAGGAUGAACGCUAGCGGCCGGCUUAACACAUGCAAGUCGAGGGGCAGCAUAAUGGAUAGCAAUAUCUAUGGUGGCGACCGGCGCACGGGUGCGUAACGCGUAUGCAACCUACCUUUAACAGGGGAGUAACACUGAGAAAUUGGUACUAAUACCCCAUAAUAUCAUAGAAGGCAUCUUUUAUGGUUGAAAAUUCCGAUGGUUAGAGAUGGGCAUGCGUUGUAUUAG